AUGAAACUUUGAAAUAACUCAACGUAUCUAUCAGAUAUAUAUCUGUAUAUCAAAGGUUCAUUUCUAUAGUACUGUAGUUAUAAAAAAAAAAAAACUUUGCUAGUUAUUAACAGGCUAGCAAGGUAGCUAACCAGCUAACUCUGCCCCACACUCUCUAAAGUAUGUGUUCACUGGUAACGUUAGCUAGCACCAGUAACGGAAAUUGUAUGUCGCUCCCAGACAGCUAAUGCAAGUUGAGCUGAGCCUGACACCUGAAGCAGCUACCUAUCGUUAGCUCAGCCACGGACCAGCUAACGUCCCGACAGCUUAAGUUGAGCUGAGACGGUGAAGCAGCUAGCCACAGAACUGCAAACAUCCUGCUCAUGGUGGACGAAAUGAAAAAGAAAACCCCAAAUGGAGCCCUCAUCAAGCAGAAGAUGGAUCUGACAUUCGCUCUUCGAAGGAAUGAAGUUGUGAAGGACAAGCCUGCCAUCACCCAGAUAUGUCAACAUUGGCCAGCUCUCUUUA